rnacentral:rRNA from 1 species
AAGCAGCCACCAUUUAAACAUAGCGUAACAGCUGACUCAUCGAGCGAUUCUGCGCCGAAAAUGAUUGGCGAUUAAAUCCAGUACCGAAGCCGCGGAUGCGUGCUACAUUCGUGUAGCAUGCGUGGUAGGAGAGCGUCGUCUAUGCGCCGAAGCUGAACUGUAAGGGACAGUGGAGCGUAGACGAGUGAGGAUGCAGACAUGAGUAGCGAUAAAACAGGUGAGAAUCCUGUUCGCCGUAAACCCAAGGUUUCCCAUAGCCACGUUCGUCGGCUUGGGGUUAGUCGGGUCCUAAGGUGAGGCCGUAAGGCGUAAUCGAUGGAUAUAAGGUUAAUAAUCCUGACCGGCAGGCAAUUAGUGUAUGAGUGCGCGGAAAUGAAAAAUGUAUACAUUACGCAAUGGAAAAGGCUUAGUCCACGUGGCGAAGCCAGCAUUGGAAGUUUCUGCCUAGAAAAGCUCAUGCACACUCUAUGCCUGUCGCCCGUACCGUAAACCGCCACAGGUAGGAGGGUGUAAAUGUACCAAGGCGCGCGAGAGAAACCUCUUUAAGGAACUCUGCAAUCUAGCCCCGUAACUUCGGAAGAAGGGGUGCCAUCUUCGGAUGGCCACAGUAAAGGGUGACUGGCGACUGUUUACCAAAAACACAGCUCUCUGCUAAGAUGUUAAGUCUACGUAUAGGGAGUGACACGUGACCAAUGCCGAAAGAUCAAGGAUGUUCUGUUUACGCAGGGCACCUAAGUCCCGGUGAAUGUCGGCCGUAACUAUAACGGUCCUAAGGUAGCGAAAUUCCUUGUCGGGUAAGUUCCGACCUGCACGAAUCGUGUAACGACCGGUCAGCUGUCUCUAAGAGAAUCUCGGCGAAGUUGUAAUGGCGGUGCAGAUGCCGCCAACCCGCGGUAGGACGGAAAGACCCUAUGCACCUUUACUGUAAGCUGGUAUUGGGUUCUGGACUAUGAUGUGUAGUAAUAGGUGGGAGACAUUGAAGUGAGCUCGUCAGGGUUCAUGGAGUCAAAAAGUGAAAAACCACCCUUUAUUUUCUAGGAUUCUAACCUCGAUUCCUGUUAGCCAGGCGAGGGACAGUGCUUGCGGGUCAGUUUGACUGGGGCGGUUUCCUCCCAAAAAGUAACGGAGGAGCGCGAAGGUACUCUCAGUAUGGUUAGUAACCAUACGUUGAGCGUAUAGGUAGAAGAGUGCUUAACUGUGAGACCGACAGGUCGAGCAGGUACGAAAGUAGGCCUAAGUGAUCCGGCAGUAGAAAAUGGAAUUGCUGUCGCUCAUCGGACAAAAGGUACGCUAGGGAUAACAGGCUUAUCGCGCCCAAGAGUUCAUAUCGACGGCGCGGUUUGGCACCUCGAUGUCGGCUCGUCACAUCCUGGGGCUGGAGAAGGUCCCAAGGGUUCGGCUGUUCGCCGAUUAAAGUGGCACGCGAGCUGGGUUCAGAACGUCGUGAGACAGUUCGGUCCUUAUCCACCGUGGGCGUAGGAAACUUGAGGGGUUCACUUCCUAGUACGAGAGGACCGGAAUUGACGCACCUCUGGUGUGGCAGUUGUCGUAGACACGGCAGCGCUGCGUAGCUAAGUGCGGAAGAGAUAAGCGCUGAAAGCAUCUAAGCGCCAAGCUCAUCCCAAGACAAGGUUUCCCCAUCAGGCUCCUGGAAGACUACCAGGUUGAUAGGCCAGAGGUGUAAGCGCAGUAAUGUGUUUAGCUGACUGGUACUAAUGUCCGAUUGGCUUAUCUUA